GCGUAGUCCGGUCAUCGCGCCUGGUUUGGGACCAGGAGGUCGCAGGUUCGAAUCCUGCCGCCC
rnacentral:tRNA from 1 species